AAGGAAUGACAGCGAAUACGUAAACCAAGUGUCACUGUUGGCUUUGGCGGGCAAGGUCCCCUUUGGCCCAGUGGCUUCGUGCGCCCCCCAUCCCAUCUCAUCCCAUUGGGGUCGGAUGGGUAAGGACGAACCAUGAAAGCCCGGCGCAAUGGGCGCCAAGGAACACAAACCUCGGGGGCACAUGUUUGGGGCCAUGUUGGCCUCUAAUGCACUCCCGUGUACGAAUCCAAACCUCACAUGACUCUCGGCAACGGAUAUCUCGGCUCUCGCAUCGAUGAAGAACGUAGCGAAAUGUGAUAUUUGGUGUGAAUUGCAGAAUCCCGUGAACCAUCGAGUCUUUGAACGCAAGUUGCGCCCGAGGCCUUGCGGCUAAGGGCACGCCUGCCUGGGCGUCACUCUAUCGACGCUCCACACCCAUCCCCAUGGCAUGGGCAAUGGAUGCGGAAGUUGGCCCCCCCGUGUGCGAGGCACCCUUGCAUGUGGUCGGCCAAAGACUUUGGCUAUCGCGUGUCCCCAAGGACAUGAUGGGUGGUGGAUGCCC
rnacentral:rRNA from 1 species